UACAGAGGUCUCAAGCGUUGUUCGGAUUCAUUGGGCGUAAAGGGUGCGUAGGUGGCGCCGUAAGUCGGGUGUGAAAUUUCGGAGCUUAACUCCGAAACUGCAUUCGAUACUGCGGUGCUUGAGGACUGGAGAGGAGACUGGAAUUCAUGGUGUAGCAGUGAAAUGCGUAGAGAUCAUGAGGAAGACCAGUGGCGAAGGCGGGUCUCUGGACAGUUCCUGACACUGAGGCACGAAGGUCAGGGGAGCAAACGGG
rnacentral:rRNA from 1 species